rnacentral:rRNA from 1 species
UGCAGAGGUCUCGAGCGUUAGGCGGAAUCACUGGGCUUAAAGCGUGUGUAGGUGGAUGCCUAAGUACCUUGUGAAAUCCCACAGCUUAACUGUGGAACUGCUUGGUAUACUGGGUGUCUUGAGUCACUCAGGGGCGAGCGGAACAAAUGGUGGAGCGGUGAAAUGCGUAGAUAUCAUUUGGAACGCCAAUGGUGAAAACAGCUCGCUGGGGGUGCACUGACACUGAGACACGAAAGCCAGGGGAGCGAACGGG